rfam:TPA: Bos taurus chromosome 13, whole genome shotgun sequence.
UCCCCAGUGGCUCAGAGGUAAAGAACCUGUCUGCAAUGCAGGAGACCUGGGUUCGACCCUGAGUGGGGAA